UACGAAGGGGGCUAGCGUUGCUCGGAAUCACUGGGCGUAAAGCGCACGUAGGCGGGUCGUAAGUCGGGGGUGAAAUCCUGGAGCUCAACUCCAGAACUGCCUUCGAUACUGGCGAUCUUGAGUCUGGGAGAGGUGAGUGGAACUCCGAGUGUAGAGGUGAAAUUCGUAGAUAUUUCGGAAGAACACCAGUGGCGAAGGCGGC
rnacentral:rRNA from 1 species